UACAGAGGUCUCAAGCGUUGUUCGGAUUCAUUGGGCGUAAAGAGCUCGUAGGUGGUUCGGUAAGUCGGAUGUGAAAUCUCCAGGCUCAACCUGGAGGGUCAUUCGAUACUGCCGUGACUAGAGUUCGGUAGGGGAGUGUGGAAUUCCUGGUGGAGCGGUGAAAUGCGCAGAUAUCAGGAGGAACACCCGUAGCGAAGGCGGCACUCUGGGCCGAUACUGACACUGAGGAGCGAAAGCGUGGGGAGCGAACAGG
rnacentral:rRNA from 1 species